rnacentral:rRNA from 1 species
UACGGGGGGGGCAAGCGUUGUUCGGAAUUACUGGGCGUAAAGGGCUCGUAGGCGGCCAACUAAGUCAUACGUGAAAUCCCUCGGCCUAACCGGGGAACUGCGUCUGAUACUGGAUGGCUUGAGUUCGGGAGAGGGAUGCGGAAUUCCAGGUGUAGCGGUGAAAUGCGUAGAUAUCUGGAGGAACACCGGUGGCGAAGGCGGCAUCCUGGACCGAUACUGACGCUGAGGAGCGAAAGCCAGGGGAGCAAACAGG